rnacentral:rRNA from 1 species
GAUGAACGCUGGCGGCGUGCCUAAUACAUGCAAGUCGAGCGAACAGAUGAGGAGCUUGCUCCUCUGACGUUAGCGGCGGACGGGUGAGUAACACGUGGAUAACCUACCUAUAAGACUGGGAUAACUUCGGGAAACCGGAGCUAAUACCGGAUAAUAUAUUGAACCGCAUGGUUCAAUAGUGAAAGACGGUUUUGCUGUCACUUAUAGAUGGAUCCGCGCCGCAUUAGCUAGUUGGUAAGGUAACGGCUUACCAAGGCCACGAUGCGUAGCCGACCUGAGAGGGUGAUCGGCCACACUGGAACUGAGACACGGUCCAGACUCCGACGGGAGGCAGCAGUAGGGAAUCUUCCGCGAUGGGCGAAAGCUUGACGGAGCAACGCCGCGUGAGUGAUGAAGGUCUUCGGAUCGUAAAACGCUGUUAUUAGGGAAGAACAAAUGUGUAAGUAACUAUGCACGUCUUGACGGUACCUAAUCAGAAAGCCACGGCUAACUACGUG